GGUAUCUUUCACACCAAAGGAUUGGUCACCUUCCAUCGUUGGAUCACAUAAGAGUCACUUCGAGAUCUAUGCAGAUGGAUGGAGAGAGGGAGUGAGUGCUUUGAGAUAUGGGUGAAGCACAAUCCAACAGUCAACAUAAGAAGGUCAAUCAUUUUUUUGCGAAAGGAUAGAUGUGAAAGAGAAAAUUGGAGAUUGGAGAGAGUGGAGGUUUUUUUGCAACCAAAGAAAGGG
rnacentral:lncRNA from 1 species